GAUGAACGCUAGCUACAGGCUUAACACAUGCAAGUCGAGGGGUAACGAGAGGAAAGCUUGCUUUCCUCGUCGACGACCGGCGCACGGGUGAGUAACGCGUAUCCAACCUGCCCCCAACUAGGGAAUAACCUUGCGAAAGUAAGACUAAUACCCUAUAAUUUCCUCAGAUGUCAUCUGACGAGGAAUAAAGAUUUAUCGGUUGUGGAUGGGGAUGCGUCUGAUUAGCUUGUUGGCGGGGUAACGGCCCACCAAGGCAACGAUCAGUAGGGGUUCUGAGAGGAAGGUCCCCCACAUUGGGACUGAGACACGGUCCAAACUCCUACGGGAGGCAGCAGAGAGGAAUAUUGGUCAAUGGGCGGAAGCCUGAACCAGCCAAGUAGCGUGCAGGAUGACGGCCCUAUGGGUUGUAAACUGCUUUUAUACAGGAAUAAAGUUAGCCACGUGUGGUUAUUUGUAGGUACUGUAUGAAUAAGGACCGGCUAAUUCCGUGCCAGCCGCCGCCGUAA
rnacentral:rRNA from 1 species